UACGGGGGGGGUAAGCGUUGUUCGGAAUUCCUGGGCGUAAAGGGCUCGUAGGCGGCCAACUAAGUCAUACGUGAAAUCCCUCAGCUUAACUGGGGAACUGCGUGUGAUACUGGAUGGCUUGGAUUUGGGAGAGGGAUGCGGAAUUCCAGGUGUAGCGGUGAAAUGCGUAGAUAUCUGAAGGAACAUCAGUGGCGAAAGCGACUUCCUGGACCAAUACUGACGCUCAUGUGCGAAAGCGUGGGGAGCAAACAGG
rnacentral:rRNA from 1 species